rnacentral:rRNA from 1 species
GACGUAGGGUGCGAGCGUUGUCCGGAUUUAUUGGGCGUAAAGAGCUCGUAGGCGGCUCGUCACGUCGGAUGUGAAAACCCGAGGCUCAACCUCGGGCCUGCAUUCGAUACGGGCUGGCUAGAGUACUGCAGGGGAGACUGGAAUUCCUGGUGUAGCGGUGAAAUGCGCAGAUAUCAGGAGGAACACCGGUGGCGAAGGCGGGUCUCUGGGCAGUAACUGACGCUGAGGAGCGAAAGCGUGGGGAGCGAACAGG